AAUGGGCGCAAGCCUGAUCCAGCAAUGCCGCGUGUGUGAAGAAGGCCUGCGGGUUGUAAAGCACUUUCAGUGGGGAAGAACGGGCCAAGGUUAAUACCCCUGGCUUCUGACGUUACCCACAGAAGAAGCACCGGCUAACUCCGUGCCAGCAGCCGCGGUAAUACGGUGGGUGCAAGCGUUAAUCGGAAUCACUGGGCGUAAAGCGCACGUAGGCGGCACGUUAAGGCAGCUGUGAAAGCCCUGGGCUCAACCUGGGAAGGGCAGUUGAUACUGACGCGCUCAAGUCUGAGAGAGGGGGGUGGAAUUCCUAGUGUAGCAGUGAAAUGCGUAGAGGUGUGGAGGAACACCGAUGGCGAAGGCAGCCCCCUGGGUCGACACUGACGCUCAUGCACGAAAGCGUGGGGAGCAAA
rnacentral:rRNA from 1 species